rnacentral:rRNA from 1 species
GACGAACGCUGGCGGCGUGCUUAACACAUGCAAGUCGAACGAAGCGGUGACGGGUGAGUAACACGUGGCUCACCUCCUAUAAGUCUGGGAUAACUUCGGGAAACCGGAGCUAAAUCGGAUACCUAUAGAUGGAUCCGCGCUGCAUUAGCUAGUUGGUAAGGUAACGGCUUACCAAGGCCACGAUGCAUAGCCGACCUGAGAGGGUGGUCGGCCACCCUGGACCGGAAACACGGUCCAGACUCCUACGGGAGGCAGCAGUAGGGAAUCUUCCGCAAUGGGCGAAAGCCUGACGGAGCAACGGCGCGUGAGAGAUGAAGGUUUUCGGAUCGUAAAACUCUGUUAUUAGGGGAGCGGUACCUAUUCAGAAAGCGACGGCUAACUACGUGCCAGCCGCCGCGGUAAUUC